UACGUAGGGGCUAGCGUUAUCCGGAAUUACUGGGUGUAAAGAGUGCGUAGGCGGUCUUUCAAGCCAGAAGUGAAAGGCUACGGCUCAACCGUAGUAAGCUUUUGGAACUGUAAGACUUGAGUGCAGGAGAGGAGAGUGGAAUUCCUAGUGUAGCGGUGAAAUGCGUAGAUAUUAGGAGGAACACCAGUAGCGAAGGCGGGUGACUGGACUGCAACUGACGCUGAGGCGCGAAAGUGUGGGGAGCAAACAGGAUUAGAUACCCUGGUAGU
rnacentral:rRNA from 1 species